AUUGAACGCUGGCGGCAUGCUUUACACAUGCAAGUCGAACGGCAGCGCGGGCUUCGGCCUGGCGGCGAGUGGCGAACGGGUGAGUAAUGCAUCGGAACGUGCCCAGUAGUGGGGGAUAGCCCGGCGAAAGCCGGAUUAAUACCGCAUACGACCUGAGGGUGAAAGCGGGGGACCGAAAGGCCUCGCGCUAUUGGAGCGGCCGAUGUCGGAUUAGCUAAUUGGUGGGGUAAAGGCUUACCAAGGCGACGAUCCGUAGCUGGUCUGAGAGGAGGACCAGCCACACUGGGACUGAGACACGGCCCAGACUCCUACGGGAGGCAGCAGUGGGGAAUUUUGGACAAUGGGGGCAACCCUGAUCCAGCCAUGCCGCGUGCGGGAAGAAGGCCUUCGGGUUGUAAACCGCUUUUGUUCGGGAAGAAAUCCUCUGGGCUAAUACCCCGGGGGGAUGACGGUACCGGAAGAAUAAGCACCGGCUAACUACGUG
rnacentral:rRNA from 1 species